GAAAAGCAGGUGCCUGCAUCCGCGCGGGCACACGCCUCAGCGGCUCGGCUGCCUUGCAGCGUGCACACGUCUCGUUUCAGGAGGGGCUCGGCUCACAAAGGAGGAGAGAAACCAGUGUGUGUCAGAUGAGCAGACAGGGCCGUGCGUGCAGAAGAGGGCAGGUGAGAGACACCUGCCACUGGGCCUCUGUGGAGGGACGUCCUCGGAGCAACUGGCCAUCCCGGGCGGCUGGCCUGCCCACCCCUCAGCACAGACCCAGGGACUCCAGGGCCCCCCCCCACACUGCACAGGGCCUGCGGGGCCUGCGGGGCAGCCAAAAAUCCACAUACACAGCCUUGACCUUCCAGUCAAUGCCAACAUUCGUGAAUGGGCGUGGCCUCUGCAGGGAUGAGCACAAGAAAGCCACGCUCUGCGACAGCGUGGGGAAGCAUUCCUGAGCGUCCUCGGCACCGAUGGCGGAAGCCUUUCCUUCCCAGUAUAAUUGGCCUUUACACUUGGUGAGUAAUGAUCACAGGAAAAGCGCGCCCUGCUGAAGCCCGGGGAAUGUAUCACUGACUUACUCAUCCAUUCCAUAAAUACUAACGCAAGCUGUUGGCACGUUUGCACCUCAGCUCAGGGCCACGUGCUCGUGAGCUGCUUGGGCU
rnacentral:lncRNA from 1 species